rnacentral:rRNA from 1 species
CCUACGGGUGGCAGCAGUGAGGAAUAUUGGUCAAUGGACGGAAGUCUGAACCAGCCAUGCCGCGUGCAGGAAGACGGCUCUAUGAGUUGUAAACUGCUUUUGUACAAGGGUAAACCUGAAUACGUGUAUUCAGCUGCAAGUACUGUACGAAUAAGGAUCGGCUAACUCCGUGCCAGCAGCCGCGGUAAUACGGAGGAUCCAAGCGUUAGCCGGAUUUAUUGGGUUUAAAGGGUGCGUAGGCGGAUGGAUAAGUUAGAGGUAAAGUGUCCGAGCUUAACUCGGGAACUGCCUCUAAUACUGUUGAUCUAGAGAGUAGAUGCGGUAGGCGGAAUGUAUGGUGUAGCGGUGAAAUGCUUAGAGAUCAUACAGAACACCGAUUGCGAAGGCAGCUUACCAAUCUAUAUCUGACGUUGAGGCACGAAAGCGUGGGGAGCAAACAGGAUUAGAUACCCGAGUAGUC